UACAGAGGGAGCAAGCGUUGUUCGGAAUUACUGGGCGUACAGGGCGCGUAGGCGGUUCGAUAAGUCCCGUGUGAAAUCCCUCGGCUCAACUGAGGAAUGGCACGGGAAACUGACGGGCUUGAGUUCGGGAGAGGGAAGCGGAAUUCCGGGUGUAGCGGUGAAAUGCGUAGAUAUCCGGAGGAACACCGGUGGCGAAGGCGGCUUCCUGGACCGACACUGACGCUGAGGCGCGAAAGCUAGGGGAGCAAACGGG
rnacentral:rRNA from 1 species